GGUGAACGCUGGCGGCGUGCUUAAGACAUGCAAGUCGAACGCAGUCUUCGGACUGAGUGGCGCACGGGUGAGUAACACGUAACUGACCUACCCCCAAGUCGCGGAUAACUGGCCGAAAGGACAGCUAAUACGUGAUGUGAUGUCCCCUUUCUGGGGGGCCAUUAAAGGUUUACUGCUUGGGGAUGGGGUUGCGUUCCAUCAGCUAGUUGGCGGGGUAAAGGCCCACCAAGGCAACGACGGAUAGCCGGCCUGAGAGGGUGGCCGGCCACAGGGGCACUGAGACACGGGUCCCACUCCUACGGGAGGCAGCAGUUAGGAAUCUUCCACAAUGGGCGAAAGCCUGAUGGAGCGACGCCGCGUGAGGGAUGAAGGUUCUCGGAUCGUAAACCUCUGAAUCAGGGACGAAAGACGCGUAAGCGGGAUGACGGUACCUGAGUAAUAGCACCGGCUAACUCCGUGCCAGCAGCCGCAGUAA
rnacentral:rRNA from 1 species